rnacentral:rRNA from 1 species
UACAGAGGGGCGAGCGUUGUUCGGAAUUACUGGGCGUAAAGGGCGCGUAGGCGGCCAACUAAGUCGGACGUGAAAUCCCCAAGCUCAACUUGGGAACUGCGUCCGAUACUGGAUGGCUUGAAUCCGGGAGAGGGAUGCGGAAUUCCAGGUGUAGCGGUGAAAUGCGUAGAUAUCAGGAGGAACACCGGUGGCGAAGGCAGGCUCG